GAUGAAGAACGUAGCGAAAUGCGAUAAGUAAUGUGAAUUGCAGAAUUCAGUGAAUCAUCGAAUCUUUGAACGCACCUUGCACCCUUUGGCAUUCCGAAGGGUAUGCUCGUUUGAGUGUCAUUGUACUUUCACACUUCCAAUCUUUGGAUUGGGAGCAGUGGACUUGGGUGUUGCUGCUUACUGUGGCUCACCUCAAAUCGAUUCGUGCACCUCUUGGUUGGACAUAGUACGGCGUGAUAAGUGUCUUCGCCGGCACCUCAGUAGAGGGUGGCUGAUCAGGAGCUCUGUGCUUCAAACCGUCCUCGGACAACAACUGACAACUUGACCUCAAAUCGAGUAGGACUACCCGCUGAACUUAAGCAUAUCAAUAAGCGGAGGA
rnacentral:misc_RNA from 1 species